CUAUGUGUUGUUGGGUAGGGGAGCGUUCUGUAAGCCUGUGAAGGUGGCCUGUGAGGGUUGCUGGAGGUAUCAGAAGUGCGAAUGCUGACAUAAGUAACGAUAAAGCGGGUGAAAAGCCCGCUCGCCGGAAGACCAAGGGUUCCUGUCCAACGUUAAUCGGGGCAGGGUGAGUCGACCCCUAAGGCGAGGCCGAAAGGCGUAGUCGAUGGGAAACAGGUUAAUAUUCCUGUACUUGGUGUUACUGCGAAGGGGGGACGGAGAAGGCUAUGUUGGCCGGGCGACGGUUGUCCCGGUUUAAGCGUGUAGGCUGGUUUUCCAGGCAAAUCCGGAAAACCAAGGCUGAGGCGUGAUGACGAGGCACUACGGUGCUGAAGCGACAAAUGCCCUGCUUCCAGGAAAAGCCUCUAAGCAUCAGGUAACAUCAAAUCGUACCCCAAACCGACACAGGUGGUCAGGUAGAGAAUACCAAGGCGCUUGAGAGAACUCGGGUGAAGGAACUAGGCAAAAUGGUGCCGUAACUUCGGGAGAAGGCACGCUGAUAUGUAGGUGAAGCGACUUGCUCGUGGAGCUGAAAUCAGUCGAAGAUACCAGCUGGCUGCAACUGUUUAUUAAAAACACAGCACUGUGCAAACACGAAAGUGGACGUAUACGGUGUGACGCCUGCCCGGUGCCGGAAGGUUAAUUGAUGGGGUUAGCGGUAACGCGAAGCUCUUGAUCGAAGCCCCGGUAAACGGCGGCCGUAACUAUAACGGUCCUAAGGUAGCGAAAUUCCUUGUCGGGUAAGUUCCGACCUGCACGAAUGGCGUAAUGAUGGCCAGGCUGUCUCCACCCGAGACUCAGUGAAAUUGAACUCGCUGUGAAGAUGCAGUGUACCCGCGGCAAGACGGAAAGACCCCGUGAACCUUUACUAUAGCUUGACACUGAACAUUGAGCCUUGAUGUGUAGGAUAGGUGGGAGGCUUUGAAGUGUGGACGCCAGUCUGCAUGGAGCCGACCUUGAAAUACCACCCUUUAAUGUUUGAUGUUCUAACGUUGGCCCGUAAUCCGGGUUGCGGACAGUGUCUGGUGGGUAGUUUGACUGGGGCGGUCUCCUCCUAAAGAGUAACGGAGGAGCACGAAGGUUGGCUAAUCCUGGUCGGACAUCAGGAGGUUAGUGCAAUGGCAUAAGCCAGCUUGACUGCGAGCGUGACGGCGCGAGCAGGUGCGAAAGCAGGUCAUAGUGAUCCGGUGGUUCUGAAUGGAAGGGCCAUCGCUCAACGGAUAAAAGGUACUCCGGGGAUAACAGGCUGAUACCGCCCAAGAGUUCAUAUCGACGGCGGUGUUUGGCACCUCGAUGUCGGCUCAUCACAUCCUGGGGCUGAAGUAGGUCCCAAGGGUAUGGCUGUUCGCCAUUUAAAGUGGUACGCGAGCUGGGUUUAGAACGUCGUGAGACAGUUCGGUCCCUAUCUGCCGUGGGCGCUGGAGAACUGAGGGGGGCUGCUCCUAGUACGAGAGGACCGGAGUGGACGCAUCACUGGUGUUCGGGUUGUCAUGCCAAUGGCACUGCCCGGUAGCUAAAUGCGGAAGAGAUAAGUGCUGAAAGCAUCUAAGCACGAAACUUGCCCCGAGAUGAGUUCUCCCUGAGACUUAGAGUCUCCUGAAGGAACGUUGAAGACGACGACGUUGAUAGGCCGGGUGUGUAAGCGCAGCGAUGCGUUGAGCUAACCGGUACUAAUGAACCGUGAGG
rnacentral:rRNA from 1 species